rnacentral:sRNA from 1 species
UGUUGAGGCCUACCAUAAGUAGGUCAGUGUUGAGGCCUACCCUAACGGUUGGUCUCACUUGCAUAGAAAUAGUGUCCAAAAAAAAACACACACACACAAAAUCUGCCUAUGACAAUUUUGGCCGAUCAUCCCUAGCCUGUCAAUGUAAACCGAUUAUGGCCAGUUCGUAAAUAGGUGUCAAACAAUUGUAAUAAAACAUAUUUAAUAUCUGUUUAUGUUUUGCAGCUGAAAAAAAGAAAUAAUCAAAACAUCAACACAAUGACUAGACGAACAAGAUCUUCAGAGAAUAUUUCUUUGGCAGACAUCGACUACCAUUCACACUUUUAGCCCCAAACUAAAGUCAGACUGAACUACAGGUUUUGUCUUUAAAGAGUCAGACUGAACUACAGGUUUUGUCUUUAAAGAUGUUUACAAAUAUUUUUUUUGUUAAUAUAGAUGUGAAUCAAAUCAUUUUUUUAAAGAUGUUAAGUACAUUUUCUUUG